rnacentral:rRNA from 1 species
ACUCAAAGGAAUAGACGGGGGCCCGCACAAGCGGUGGAGCAUGUGGUUUAAUUCGACGCAACGCGAAGAACCUUACCCAGGCUUGACAUGCACAGGACCGUCGUGGAAACACGGCUUCCCCGAAAGGGGCUUGUGCACAGGUGCUGCAUGGCUGUCGUCAGCUCGUGUCGUGAGAUGUUGGGUUAAGUCCCGCAACGAGCGCAACCCUUGUCCCUAGUUGCUACAGUAUUAGCUGAGCACUCUAGGGAGACUGCCGGUGGUAAACCGGAGGAAGGUGGGGAUGACGUCAAGUCCUCAUGGCCCUUACGCCUGGGGCUACACACGUGCUACAAUGGCCGGUACAGAGGGAUGCAAUACCGCGAGGUGGAGCCAAUCCCAAAAAGCCGGUCUCAGUUCGGAUUGCAGUCUGCAACUCGACUGCAUGAAGUCGGAAUCGCUAGUAAUCGCUGAUCAGCAGGCAGCGGUGAAUACGUUCCCGGGCCUUGUACACACCGCCCGU